ensembl:lncRNA
AGUGACACAGCUUAGAAAAAUCCUCUUUCUUUAGUAGUAAGAUUGAAGAACUUAAAGAUGUAAACACUAUGUGUUAGUGUCUAAUCUAUAGCAGAGAAAUGACCAAAUACAAAUUAAAAAUACACCUAAAAAAGAUAAACGAUACACUAAACCAUGACACUAUUUAGCGGGAUCAUGGCUGAUUUCUAAAUAUAUUCAUAGGUUUUAGUAAGAUAUUCUUAAAAUAAUUUCCUUCCACACAUUUGUAUUACUUGUUUUACAAAUCAUCAACACCAUGCCAGGUUUUUCAGCAUAAUUUCCUUGGGGCUUUAUUUAAAUAAUGAUGCAUGGUUGGACUUGACACAGGAGAGGAACAUUUCUUUUGGGAGAAAGUAUUCUACAAGCUCUUUGGCUGAUCUAAAACCUAAGAAAUUCUGGAGGAAUUAACCAUUAGCCACAAAGUCUGCCCAUAGUCUAAAAUACAUGCUACCAUAAUUUUACCAUUCAUUUGAAUUUCCCCGUUCAAUGGCGUAUUCAAAAUGUCUUUCUUUGCUGGAGGUUGUUUUACGAUACAGAUUAAAAUCUAUGUAUUUUGCCUCAUGUAAAACUAUCAACCUGUCUAGCUCUGAAAUAGUUUAACAUACAAUGAAACGUGUCUUAAUUAGUUAGCCAAAAUUGGAUAGAAUUUGUUAUGUUUGUAUGUAAGGCCCAAGAUGAAAGGAUUCUCAAUUUAAAGUAUUGACAAAGUUGGCUUGCUCUAUAUGCUCUAACAAAGUGUUUCCCAACCUUGGGUUCUGACAAGCAUACAGGAUCAUGACAAUACAAAAGAGGUCCAGACUAUGAUUCAUACUGCACGUAAGCAAUCUACCACUUACUGGUAUGGCAUGGUGAUGAUAUGGUCAGAACAAUGUGGGUUUUGUAAGAAGAUGCAAGUCUUGGUUGUAUUAUUUUCAGAUCAAAAAAUGAGGUUGAGGCACCUGCUCUUUAAGCUCUUAUGCUCCAACAUUAGCAUUCAUUUUGGAUUUUUUUUUUUUAAUCAUACCCAGUAUUAAAUUCAGCUAUAACUUUGUUUUAAUUUGCUUGUCCUUUUGAAACCUGAAAAAUGUCUUAAAUUCACAAUUACCCUUUAAUAAAGACGGUGAACAUGAA